rnacentral:tRNA from 1 species
AUCCCAGUAGCUCAACCUGGCCAGAGCCCGGUCCCUAAAACCUGGAGACGCGAGUUCGAUGCUCGCCUGGGGUGCCA